rnacentral:rRNA from 1 species
GUGGUUUAAUUCGAUGCAACGCGAAGAACCUUACCUGGUCUUGACAUCCCGGAGACCCUUAGGAACUAGGGGUGCUUCCAUCUGGAAGAAUCUGGAGACAGGUGCUGCAUGGCUGUCGUCAGCUCGUGUCGUGAGAUGUUGGGUUAAGUCCCGCAACGAGCGCAACCCUUGCCUUUAGUUGCCAGCAGUUCGGCUGGGCACUCUAAAGGGACUGCCGGUGUUAAACCGGAGGAAGGUGGGGAUGACGUCAAGUCCUCAUGGCCUUUAUGACCAGGGCUACACACGUACUACAAUGGCCGAUACAAAGGGCAGCGACACUGCGAGGUGAAGCCAAUCCCGUAAAAUCGGUCUCAGUCCGGAUUGGAGUCUGCAACUCGACUCCAUGAAGUUGGAAUCGCUAGUAAUCGUGGAUCAGCAUGCCACGGUGAAUACGUUCCCGGGCCUU